AAAAAAAAAAAAAAAAGAGGGUUAGAAAAAUACCUAUCGAAUUCACCUUUUCAAACAAGCCUAUAACCAAAGUCUGUGCCAUUAUUAACAAACUUGUCGCUAAUAAGUCAGAUAAUUUGAUACCAGGGUUUACCUCAAUUUAUCCAUUAACUUUUCAUUAUUUUGGACCCCUCAUAUUCAUAAGGAAAAAAUUAAAUUGAAGUUGUGUUGGAGACAGAGAGAUUUACACACAGAAAACACCAGUUCUAUCAUGAGGAGAGGAUUUGUGGUGGUCGCUUAUGCGGCGAUGACGAUUUUACUUAGCACAAACAUGUAUGCUUCACCUGUUUUCAGGGUUAACUACUCAAACCCUUCAUGCAAUGCCACCAAUGCUGAAUGCAAUCCAGGUGCAGGAGGAGAGGUACUUUUCAUGGAUUCCCAAGUGAGCAUUCAUAGGCUUCUCGCUGGAGACAAAAAAUUUAUUACUUUUCCAACUUCGGGUAAAGAUCAAGUAAUUUGUGAUGCAACCAUAUAUGCUGAUUGUUUAAGGGCAAGUAAUAUUCAAAGCCCCCGUGCAUGCAGAAAGUACGAACGUUGUAGAGCCUAGUACUGUAUGGCAGGGAGCCAGGUACUUAAUUUGCGUUAUUUUUGUAUCAUGGAUAAUUAUGUUAUGUCUGUGAGAAUAUAUAUAUAUAUAUAUAUAUUUUUUUUUUCUAUGUUUUCUACGUUAUGUGGCAAUAAAUUUGCAUCUGAUCACAAAUAGAAUCUUGCUGUGUGAUUAAGAUGUGAGGAAAAUUUGUAGAAGAGAGUAUUCCGAUAUAUAUUAUACAUAAAAUAUAUAUGUGUAUAUAUAUAUAUA